GACGAACGCUGGCGGCGUGCUUAACACAUGCAAGUCGAGCGGAAAGGCCCUUCGGGGUACUCGAGCGGCGAACGGGUGCGAAACACUUGAGUAACCUGCCCCAGCCUUUCGGAUAACCCUCGGAAACGGGGGCUAAUACCGGAUACGACACAGCAUCGCAUGUGGUCUGUAUGGAAAGAUUUUUGGAUUGGGAUGGGCUCGCGGCCUAUCAGCUUGUUGGUGGGGUGUUGGUGUACCAAGGCGACGACGGGUAGCCGGCCUGAGAGGGCGACCGGCCACACGGGGACUGAGCUACGGCCCAGAGUCCUACGGGAGGCAGCAGUGGGGAAUAUUGCACAAUGGGCGGAAGCCGGAUGCAGCGACGCCGCGUGCGGGAUGACGGCCUUCGGGUUGGAAACCUCUUUCAGCAGGGACGAAGCGUAAGUGACGGUACCUGCAGAAGAAGCGCCGGCCAACUACGUG
rnacentral:rRNA from 1 species